rnacentral:rRNA from 1 species
GAUGAACGCUGACAGAAUGCUUAACACAUGCAAGUCUACUUGAACUUCGGUUUGGGUGGCGGACGGGUGAGUAACGCGUAAAGAACUUGCCUCACAGUUAGGGACAACAUUUGGAAACGAAUGCUAAUACCUGAUAUUAUGAUUUUAGGGCAUCCUAGGAUUAUGAAAGCUAUAGGUGCUGUGAGAGAGCUUUGCGUCCCAUUAGCUAGUUGGAGAGGUAACGGCUCACCAAGGCGAUGAUGGGUAGCCGGCCUGAGAGGGUGAACGGCCACAAGGGGACUGAGACACGGCCCUUACUCCUACGGGAGGCAGAAGUGGGGAAUAUUGGACAAUGGACCAAAAGUCUGAUCCAGAAAUUCUGUGUGCAAGAUGACGUUUUUCGGAAUGUAAAGUGCUUUCAGUUGGGAAGAAAAAAAUGACGGUAACAACAGAAGAAGUGACGGCUAAAUACGUG